UGCCAGCAGCCGCGGUAAUACGAAGGGGGCAAGCGUUGUUCGGAAUCACUGGGCGUAAAGCGCACGUAGGCGGAUCGUUAAGUCAGGGGUGAAAUCCCGAGGCUCAACCUCGGAACUGCCUUUGAUACUGGCGAUCUUUGAGUCCGGGAGAGGUGAGUGGAAUUCCGAGUGUAGAGGUGAAAUUCGUAGAUAUUCGGAAGAACACCAGUGGCGAAGGCGGCUCACUGGCCCGGUACUGACGCUGAGGUGCGAAAGCGUGGGGAGCAAACAGGAUUAGAUA
rnacentral:rRNA from 1 species